UAUAUAAAUAAACAGGUAUGUGUAACUAUCCACGUUAAAACAUUUUCAACUUAGGGGUGUUUAAAUAGCAAUUUGAGUUAGCAAUAUCGGUCCCUACCAAGUCCAUGAACAAAUAAAAGCCCAAAUCUAAAACGGCCCGAAUACAAAAAGCUUUUGUGUCUUUCUUGUUGCCCUUUCUUCUCCACACUGUUCCACUUCCACUUUUUUGUUUUUUUCAUACUUCAGUCCUUCCUUGAUUCUUCAAUGGAAGUUUUUUUUUUUUUUUUUUUUUUUUGUGGUUUAAUGUUCUUGCACAAUUCAAAAUGUGUUGAAUAAUUUUUCAUUGGCUUUUGACCUGUCAUUGCCUUUUUACCUAACCAUAGCCGUCGCCACCGCCACCUACAUUUUUCGUCAUGCACACACACGUGUGUGUAUGUGUGUGGUUGUCUGUAAAGGCUUUUGAUGAACGCCAUUGUGUUAAAACUGCAUGAUUUAUUCCUAAGAUAUGGGAUCUGAGGGCAUUUUCACGCUUUUACCUCAGUUCACCGAUUUUCUUUAUCAUAGAGCAAGCAUUGGCUGUAAAUGCUAUCCUUCAUGUCGUAUUGAGGUUAUGUAGUAGUUCGUUCACCCAUUUUGAGGUAAUCCAUGCUUGCUCACCUGUGUGUUGCCAGGAUGUUUUGGGUCUUGUCUGCACUAUUUUGUCUUUGUAUAUUAAAGCUUGAAACUUCCUUCAGUAAUGUUAGAUCAAUGGAAGCACUUUAUUUCUCAUUCAACUGAUUAAGUUGAUAGUGUCAUUUUAAUUAUAUUUUGUAAUGUACUAAUAGUUACAAGUCUCUUUAGUAUCAAUCAUAUUAUUUUCAUGAGCAAAUCUGUCUUCCACUUUUUUUCAUUAUCAUAACCUUUGGUCGUCAAUGACGAAUGCCCAGGUCGAUAUUUUUUGUCAUAAUUGAGUGUCAUUGUUAUAUUUCUUGUGAUCGCGCAAUGAUGAACGCUCGUUUUGAGAUAUGGUACUUUGAAUAUUGUUCAAAGCCUUUCCAUCUUUUCUGCUUUUCUUCCUACUGCCGUCACCUACUCUGCUACUGCUUCUCUUCUUUCUCUUCAUUCCCUUUGUUGUUGAUGCUGCUGCUGUUGUUAUUACUAUUAUUAUUAUUAUUAUUAUUAUUAUUAUUUAUUAGUAUUAUUGCUGGCGGCAAGUAGAGAUGACGGAGGUUGUGGGGUUUUAGUGCCAAGAUGGAUGUUGAAAGGCUUUUAUGGAUGUUGAAAAAGUAGUACCAAUUGGAGUUAUCUGAGUGCGCAAUACUA